rnacentral:lncRNA from 1 species
CAGUCACCGAAGUGAUUGAUGUUGGCUUGAAGACUUGAAACAGCCAUCACAGUUGAAAUAUCACCAACAGAGCUUUCAGUACAUUUUGCUUUGCAUCACACAGUGCUUUCCACUUCUCAAGAUUAACUGCACAUCAAUGUGGGAGUGAUCUUAUGGCCCUUGGGAAUCCACACUGAUCUCCCCAUAUCCUACAGCAGGUACUGGUAAAAAUACAUUCUCCUUUAAAGUGGAACCAUGUUCAUUAAAGAAUAAUUCAGUAUGGAAAGGGUUUAUGUUCUGGAUUCCAAAAGCUGAUUUGUCCGUUUUGACUGGGCGUGUAAGUUUGUGGUUCCAAGGUUCACUAUCCUUAAAAUGGAAUGCUGUUCUUUGCCAUGGUGAGGAUGAUGAAUAUUCAUUUUGUGGCACUCUGAAGGGAGG